GAUGAAGAACGAAGCGAAAUGCGAUAAGUAAUGUGAAUUGCAGAAUUCAGUGAAUCAUCGAAUCUUUGAACGCACAUUGCGCCCCUUGGUAUUCCGUGGGGCAUGCCUGUUCGAGCGUCAUUAUAACCCCUCAAGCUCAGCUUGGUGUUGGGGCCUGCUGCACUGGCAGCCCUUAAAAUCAGUGGCGGCGCCAUCUGGCUCUAAGCGUAGUAAUUCUUCUCGCUAUGGAGUCCUGGUGGAUGCUUGCCAUCAACCCCCAAUUUUUCUAUGGUUGACCUCGGAUCAGGCAGGGAUACCCGCUGAACUUAAGCAUAUCAAUAAGCGGAGGA
rnacentral:misc_RNA from 1 species